rnacentral:rRNA from 1 species
UAGGGAAUAUUAGUAAUGGGCGAAAGCCUGAACUAGCAACACCGCGUGUGCGAAGAAGGCCUUCGGGUUGUAAAGCACUUUUUGAGAGGAUGAGGAAGGACGGUACUCUCAGAAUAAGUCUCGGCUAACUACGUGCCAGCAGCCGCGGUAACACGUAGGAGGCGAACGUUAUCCGGAUUUAUUGGGCGUAAAGCGCGUGUAGGUGGUUUGGUAAGUAGAGCGUGAAAGCUCCUGGUUCAACUGGGAGAGGUCGUUCUAAACUGCCAGACUAGAGGAGGGUAGAGGGAGGUGGAAUUCCGGGUGUAGCGGUGGAAUGCGCAGAUAUCCGGAGGAACACCAGUGGCGAAAGCGGCCUCCUGGACCACUCCUGACACUCAGACGCGAAAGCUAGGGUAGCAAACG